UUUGCAGGUGGCUGCUAUUGAGCACUUACUCAGGCUUUUAGUAACAGCCCUCUGGUUUGGUGUGGCACUGUCACGUGGUUCUCAGGUCCGUGAACAUCCACAGCUUCCCUCUGGUUCCUGGGUCGGGUUUAGGCCCUGCCUUUCCUGUGUGGAGCACUGAGAGAUGAAGAUGCUAUCAGGUGGAGGUCUUCCAAACUGCAGGAAGAAAUGAGAGAAAAGGAACGAUUAUACAGCAUCAGUCAGCAUCAGAAACUUUCUAAAUCGAAGAAAACAAUCAGCCUUAUGUAUAUCUGCUGCAUCUGAGGGUUGUAUCUCAACAAGGAGAGAAGAAAAACACAUUUUCCUCUUGUAAAAUUCACCCUGGACACUGGGUGCAUGUACAACCCCAUGGCUUCAAUCAUGUGAUCCUACCAACCUUGUCUCCCUCUUGCCCACAACCAUAAAUGCUUUCUUUUUUCCCCCUUCCUUUGAGAGGCUAGUCUGGGACUUAAAUCACUCUUUCUACCUUAAAAGCCUGUGCUCACUCCACAGAUGAUACUCCCUUACCCUCCCAGACCCUCGGUUUCCAUAUCUACCGUAUGAGAAAGAGGCUGUUAUUAUGAAACACACCACUAUGCAAACAAGGGAGAAAAUGUUAAUCAUUAAAGACAAGAUAUAUACCUUCACUACCAUCUCAGUGAUAAACAACAGUCAUCCUAUGACUGUUUCUUUUGACUGUCAUAUAAAAUACACAAAUCUACAACCGAACAAAUAUUUCAGUAUUAAUCACUAAAUGUGGUCCUACUUGAAAUUCUGAACUGUAUGCUAUUCGUAAGUAGUUACGUUCUAAAAGGUGUCUUCUCUUAGUGCAGGAGACUGCACUUCUGUGGUCAAGAAAUGAAGGCCAAACUAGUGCACAGCCCAGUUGCUGCUGCUUUUCGUCACUGUUUUCUCAAGAAAUACUGGUCUUAGGUACUGAUACAUUUACAACUUGUUGAUAAUCUUAGAGAUAGAGGACCAAAGACCUCAUAAGAACAAAUGAGAAGCCAUGAAGUAUAUUUCACUUCAUGCUCUUUAUAUUACUGGGUGCAGAACUGUUCUAUAAACAUUAGGUAAAUUUGAGUUGUUGAACUAAUUUCAAACAAACGUUUUCUUAAUUUACUCC